rnacentral:rRNA from 1 species
AAGUCUCCGUACGUGCAUAAGUUCCAUUUGUGCGUAAUCGUGAGCCAUGCAGUGGGCCAUACACAUGUGGUGGCAGCCGUCGGCUGUUUUUCUUUGGGCUGACAAUGGCUUAUGGCUUGCUGUGUGUUGAGGGGAAGUGAGUGAUCCGAUAUGCUAGAAAGGCGGGUCGAUGGCGCUCAUUUCCUCGUUAUUCUCAACAACGGUGUCCACUUUGGCGUCUACGCCUCACCUAGCUAUCGCCCGGACCGUCGGUAGCAAUGAAAGGUGGGGAGAAAGUUCCUCUCCAUGAGUUGAGCAGACUUAAUGAGCCCUGCGUGAGGGCCGCCAAAAUCCAAAACACAACCGUUUCUUUUCGUUUCGAAAGUUGACCGAUGAGUCGAGGCGUUCCGCCGUUCCAUUCGUGGAUAUGCGGGCGUGUUGAUGAGUCGUUAACUAUUAAUCUUGGCGGUGGAUCACUCGGUUCGUGGAUCGAUGAAGAACGCAGCCAGCUGCGAUAAAUAGUGCGAAUUGCAGACACAUUGAGCACUAAAAUUUCGAACGCACAUUGCGCCAUCGGGUUCUUUCCCGCUGGCACGUCUGGCUGAGGGUCGGAAUAUUCAAUACUAUCCGCACAAUGCUUCAGAUGGCCGAUGGCUCGUGUGAAGCGUGCGGUGCAAUCGGCAAGCAGUGUCCCAUUGGGGCGCUCCUUGUUUGGCUUGAAUGGCAACUUAUUGCAAAGCUUUACUCGGUAAGGUGCAAUAAUAGCCGUAAAUGUGUGAGUGAUUAUGUACGUCCCUCGAUGCGGCUCCCAAUAUUUGUUGACUGCCUCUGGUGGUGAUUGGGAGUUAAGUAUCGGAUUAUCGGAGAAAUGUGACAUGUCUUAUAUGGUUAUGUGAUUUUGACCUCAGCUCAGUCGUGAUUACCCGCUGAAUUUAAGCAUAUAAUUAAGCA